rnacentral:rRNA from 1 species
CGGACGGGUGAGUAACGCGUGGAAAACCUGCCGUAUACUGGGGGAUAACACUUAGAAAUAGGUGCUAAUACCGCAUAAGCGCACAGCUUCGCAUGAAGCGGUGUGAAAAACUCUGGUGGUAUACGAUGGUUCCGCGUCUGAUUAGCCAGUUGGUGGGGUAAUGGCCUACCAAGGCAACGAUCAGUAGCCGGCCUGAGAGGGUGAACGGCCACAUUGGGACUGAGACACGGCCCAAACUCCUACGGGAGGCAGCAG